rnacentral:rRNA from 1 species
GACGAACGCUGGCGGCGUGCUUAACACAUGCAAGUCGAACGAUGAAGCCGGAGCUUGCUCCGGUGGAUUAGUGGCGAACGGGUGAGUAACACGUGAGCAAUCUGCCCUUGACUCUGGGAUAACUGCGGGAAACUGUAGCUAAUACCGGAUACGACACCUUGGGGCAUCCCAGGGUGUGGAAAGAAUUUCGGUCAAGGAUGAGCUCGCGGCCUAUCAGCUAGUUGGUGAGGUAAUGGCUCACCAAGGCGACGACGGGGAGCCGGCCUGAGAGGGUGACCGGCCACACGGGAACUGAGACACGGUCCAGACUCCUACGGGAGGCAGCAGUGGGGAAUAUUGCACAAUGGGCGAAAGCCUGAUGCAGCAACGCCGCGUGAGGGAUGAAGGCCUUCGGGUUGUAAACCUCUUUUAGCAGGGAAGAAGCGAAAGUGACGGUACCUGCAGAAAAAGCACCGGCUAACUACGUGCCAGCAGCCGCCGUAA